CCAGUAGUGGUUUGACGUUGGUCCCGGAGAUGUCACGUGGUUGCAGGUGGCUGGACUGACCCGCAGGGUUGGUCCGGUGAGGAGAGUACGUCGUGAGGUUGGUGUGGUGUCGUGGCUCUCGAGACCUGAAGGCCCUCGUCCCGACCCUCGCUGUCUGUGGCGCGGACGCCGAGCCUUUCCGCGGACUGCGGUGGAGUGCGGGGGUCUGGGGACGCGGCGGCCGGGCGAUGGAGUCGGCUUUUCAGGAAGUCGUCAGCCCGCUCCGCACACGCGCUCUCUCCUCCGAGGAUGUCAGAUUUCCUUCCCAUUUAGGUCACCACAGAGCACUGAGGAGAGUUCCCUAUGCUAUACAACUUGGAGCCGAAGAAGCUGGCAACCUGGAAACACCAGUGGGUGCAGACAAAAAAAGCCCAACAAAAGCCUGCUGUUUCUAGCCAAAGGACCAGGAAACAGGCAGCCUAGAAAGAAGGAAAUAACUGCUGUGUUCCAGCCAAAUGCCACAGAAAAAACUGUGGUUCCACUUCUCCUCCCCUUCCCGUCCCCCACGGCAGAGACUACAUGCAGAAGCUAGACUUCCAUUUUCACCAGGCUCUAAAGAGGUGUUCCCAACCCUCUCUCUCCAGGUUAGUGCCCGAGAAGCCUAAGCAGAGCUGGGAGCUGCAUCCCUUCCUAGCCCCUGUGUUGUCAGUGGAGACCUUGGGAAGUUUGGACUUCCACCCUCAUCUGGUGGAGAUGAGGCACUGUUCCACCUACCUGAUGCGGUGAUACCGGAAGAAGCCUAGUGGAAAUUCAGGACCUUAUCUCCCAGCUGUAACAAAGCCACCUCCACUGUGGUGUCAUUGGAGACCAAAGCAGGAGGGUUUUUUCUUCAGUCUUUACCAUAAGAACCUAAUUGAGUUCCUAGAGGUAACAAUCAUGAAACUGUGCCCCCCACCAGCAAAAACAAAACAAAACAAAACAGCCUCCAGGAGGUUUUUCGUUUUGUUUUGUUGUUUUUGUUUUGUUUUUUGUUUCGUUUGUUUUCUCUCUCAAGCUAGUCCUCAUUCAGCCUCCAGCAGUUCAUCAAUUACUAUUUAAUUGUUCCUACCCAUUGCUGGCUCCUCAGUGACUUCUUCUUCUGGUGUACUGUAUGCCAUGAUUCUCUGUAUUCACCUGUCUCUUAACUUUUGGGGGUGGCUAUUUUCCAUGUGACUUCAAUGCUCUUGUUAACUUAAGAUGACUUGUCGAUUUUCAGUUUAUUCCAAUUUUUUUUUCUUGUUUUG